AGUACACUCUUCCUGUCUUGCUGUGGAGUGUGGUUGCAGCUCUACUCUUGUCUUCUAUCUUGAACAUCAUCCUCGUCUGUAUCCUCUGCAAAACGGCCACUAGAACAUAUCUGCAGUCCGAAGGGUCACAUUCCCAGCAGAGUGUUGCAGUAUACGCCACUGAAACUCAGAGUGAGCAGUCUGACGCUGUGCAGUACGUAGCUGUGGACUACAGGAAGAAGCAAAGCAAGAGCAGGAAGCAGAGGAGCGAAGAGGAGGAGACGGUUUACUCUGGAGUCAGACUGACAGAGCUGGAGUGAGAAACCACGACUGCUGCUGCUUCUUUCUGACUCCUGUAACUUCAGUCAGUAUUAAUAUCUGAUAUGAGAUCAAUGGAAAUGCAUUUGAUUAUCUUUCAUCCUUUAAAGUAUAUUCUGAAAAACUGACACACUCUUUUUUUUCUGCAUUUAUUGAAUCAUAUAUAUUGUUAUUGCUUCUUAAAAGGCUCUGGUUUCUAUAGCAACAUAAAUGAUGUACGCUUGUACCUUUUUAUUCCUAAAAAGACACUGUCCUCAUCAAUGGGUUUACUGUCAUUGUUCCUGUUUUCAUCACUAUGCAUCAGUGGUUGUCAAACUGUUGAGAAAAAAGCUGACA